rnacentral:lncRNA from 1 species
CAGGGAGCUUUGGAUGGUGGUCUUGACAUUCCUCACAGUGACAAGAGGUUUGCUGGGUUCAAGAAGGACGAGAAGCAGCUUGAUUCUGAUAUUCACCGCAAGUACAUCUACGGUGGGCACGUGGCUGACUACAUGAGGGUGAGCUGGCACUAUUAGAUCAAUUGUUCGUGCUGUGGGUUGUAUUAGGAAUUAUGUAGCUGCCUUGAUGUUUAUAACGUUGACUAAAGCAUUAUAUAAAGUUUGGAUUAUUUGUUACUGUUUAGCUCAGUCUGCUUUAUUUUGAUUGUCAUCAGGAUAAAUUUUCUUCUUAUGUACUUGUUGCAGUCUAUGGCUGAGGAGGAACCUGAGAAAUUCCAAGCCCACUUUAGUGAGUACCUCAAGAAGGGAAUUGACGCUGAUGGCAUGGAAUCACUGUACAAGAAGGUCCAUGCUGCCAUCCGCGCCGAUCCUACCAUGGCCAAAUCGACCAAGAAGGAACCGGCUACCCACAAGAGGUAUAUUAAGCUGGCUGAUGAUUUUCGUAAAGAUUAUUUGUGAUGUCCAUGUAUGAUGUAACUAACUUGCCAUCUCUUUGCUGCAGAUACAACCUCAAGAAGCUGACCUACGAGCAGAGGAAGGCCAGUCUCGUCGAAAGAUUGAAUGCUCUCAACUCCUCCGCUGGUGCUGAUGAUGAUGACGAGGAAGAGGAUGACGAGUGAGAGAGUAGCCUUAUCACAGUAGUUUCAUCUUAUGCUGCCAAACAAACUCCAUAUGGCAUUUAAGUUUACCUGUAGUCUUGCAAUUUGCAACAGGCAUUUUUGUUUAUGUUCUGCACUCUGCUCAAAGAACCUAUUUCUUUCGGUUUUUGAUUCUCAACCUUGAGCUAUCAGUUAUCUUAUUUAUGUGAGAAGCUGCCGUUUGGAUAUUGAUAUAAUUGUGUUCUGCCUGCCUCUUCACUUGUCUUUGUUUUAUGUUAUUCCUUUUUAGCAAUGGGCAGUCAAAUCUGCUGGUCUUGCCUGCAUUUAUUCUGAACUGGAGCUGCCUUGGGCUCUUUACUCGCUAGAUGAAGUUUGAUCGCUUGCUUGUGUCAUUCAUUCAGUUUGAGAUUGACAUCUUGCUUGCUCAUUCAUUAUGUUGAUAACAAUGUGAAGCAUGUAGUUCCUAGUUUUGACAGAUUUUGACAUAUGGUUUCUAUAUAGUGAUUUUGGCAGGAAAUACGAGUCCAUCACUAUUUUCUAACUAAAGUUUACCGUCCAGCAUGAGUUAGAACUCUUUGAAUAAAAUAUUUUCACACAUUCUUGUUGAUUGUCCAGCAUGAGGAUUGAAAAAGACUAUAAAAUCUAAAAAAAAAUUCACACAUUCCUGUCUUAGAUUCUCCUGUUUGUCUUUACAACUGGUUUUGUAAUGCUAACAAUGCACACACCGCCUCCAAAUCAAUCUCAAAUUUCACAUAUUACUGCCUCGAAUGCUCCAAUUUUCACCAAUUCGUCUUUUAAAUUGGUUUGUUACAACUAAGUAAGCCAAAGCGAGCGAAUCUCACUUGGUACUUGGUAGCUCUUCAUGAACUAAUCUAAACGACAGCCACUUCGCAGCAACAUUUCCGAAGCAGAUUUUAGAUUUUUAGUCAAAGUUAAUGGGUUAAUGGAUUGACAUCCAAACUAAGAUAAUAAAAAUAAGCGGUACCGCAACUAGAAGGGAGUCACGGGAGCAGCGGCUUGCAGGAAUCAGUUUAUGAACAAUGCAGGCAUAUCAAAAUUUCAUGUAGAUCUAUAUGAUCGGAUUAUGCCAACUUGCCAAGCAUGAGUUCAUGAGAAUGCUAACACUACCUGCAACACCUUAAAAGUACUAAUCCUCUAAUAUAACAACGAAGCAUACUGAAAUCUCGUCAGCAUACUCAUGCAAAAUGUGAAGCAAUGUCGCAUCUCGUGAUCAUUUCUGCUGUAUUGCAACGUACAUAUGGUGCCGUCAUGUGUACUACCCACAAUUCACAUACUCCCUCCGUCUCAAAAUAUACCUAUUUCUAAUACAGUGUCUUAUCCCAAAAUAAACCUAUUUCUUCACCUACCUCCUCCUCUCAACCAAUCACAACAUUCUUCUUCACCUAUUUUCUCUUUUCAACCAAUCACACACUUCCUCCAAUCAUUCUCACCUAAUUUCUUAAUACCCGUGCCAACCUUAAAAAUAGCUUCAUUUUGGGACGGAGGAAGUACAUGGUAAGAGAGCAGAAUAACUUCCAGCGUGGAUCUAACUACUAAGUACUCUCUCCGUUUUAGGUUAUAUGACGUUUUGACUUUGGUCAAAAUCAAACUAUUUCAAAUUUGACUAAGUUUAUAAACAAAUAUAUUAAUAUUUAUAAUACUAAAUUAGUUUUAUCAAAUCAACAUCUGACACAGAAGGGGUAGAGACUAGAGAGCACACUGAUUGUCUCUCGCGCGUUCUUCUUGGUCACAUUAACAAAAGACCUGAAGAUACAAACAUCGAGUGAGUGAGUGACCAGACAUAAGGACGGAUGAUUACACAGUUCUGAAAGAACACAUUUUGACUAGAACAGUAAUGUCAGGCUGGAUAAGAAUAUAGCGUCAAGGGGCUAAACAGAGCUACUUGGAGGAGCACGGAGCAGCAGCAAAUUGAAUACCCAUAAGAAUAUAUAAGAUGAUGUGAUUAUGUUACUGAACGGAAUGAACACUAAUUUACUUAAUACAUAGAACCACGGUCCGACCGAUGAACCGGGGUCUAACCAGUGAACCGACAAGCUCAUCGGGUCAGUCCUCGGUCCGACUUUUUCUACUAUGGUGGGGCGUGGUCGGCGGCACAUGUCCCCGACGUCCCUGGCAUCCCGACGGAGAUGGACGCCGGCAGACACAGAGUUGGCACGGGAGGAUGCGGCACAGGGGUUGUUGACCGUGCGUCGCUGGUUCAACGUUGAUGGAGUUGGAACGCCGCCACCGCGACCUCCCCGAGCUUCGGCAUCCCCCAUCUUAAGCGAGAUCGGUAGUGUCGCCGCCUCACCUCCCCAAGCGCGCGCGUCGCUGGUCCAACGCGGACGGAGCCGGAACACCGCCGCCGUGACUUCCGCCAGUCCUCCAUUCAGCGCUUGUCUCGCUGGCGCCACGGGAGAUGUAAAAGAUAAUAGGGGAAGAGGAGAGUUGCUGACGAGUGGGACCCAUAAGCUGACUCAGCUAGUCAGCAGAAUCAAAGCUGCCACGUAGGACAAAACCGUCUCCGAAACCGCGAGGGAGGUGAUUUACUCUGGUUUUCAGAGAAGGAGGCGUUAUACCCAGUUUUCCGGUUGAGGGAUAUUAUUCACGCAAGCGUAACAGAAAAGGGACGCAAAACGGACUUAUUCCAACGAGGAAUUAUCUCCUUUCCCAGGCCCACAGACUGAGGCCCAUCAAGCCGCGGAGAGCAACCCCUCAAGACGAUCUGAGCCGUCCGAUCCAUCUCCCGCACCGCAUCCGUCCGCCCGAUGCGCUCGCGCGACUCGGGUUUCUUCUUCGAGUGGAUGGAUAAAAGGGCUCGAGGGCAGCCGCCGCUAUAAACCCUAACUAUUCCUUCUCCCACCUCUCCCCUCUCCUCGCUCCUCCACGCGCCGCCGCCGCCGCAGCGGAGCAGCCACAGCAGGCGAGCGACAUGGUAAGAUCCUCACACUCCAUCCUCUCAACCUCCUUGCAGCCCUGCUAGAAUCGGUCGCUGCGUGCUGUGCUGUUUCGUUCUUGAUUCGCUGCGUCGCGGUUUGGUUCAUGGGUGUCCUUGAUUAGCUCGGUGGGUGAUUGGUAGUGCGGCUGCGAGGUUAUUUGCGUUUGUGGCGAUGGAUAUGAUGCUCGGUUCUCGGGAUCCAUUUCGAUCCGGUAGGGAUCUAUGGUGUCAUGUAGAUUUCUUGCUUAAACGAUAAUGUAUUUUGGCAUUUCGGUCGUCGUGCUUCCCAUUUGAUGUUGCUAGCAUCUCUUCUUUUCGCGGUUGCAUUUUGCAGUAGUUCGUGCCAUCCAUCUUGAUUGUUUUGUUCAGUAGAGCCACUUAGGUGGGUUGCCACAUCCCAGUAGUGGUAGUAUAGUAGUUGUCACAAACACUAUCUAUUGCUACAACCAGCACAAAUUUCAUAUGCUUGUCUAGCUCUAUCAGUUUUUCUGGAUAUUGGAUUUUAGAUGGUUCCGUUGUCUAGUUGCACCAAUACAUUUGCUAUCCUAACUGACUGCUUGAUAAUAAAAUUGCAGUGUUUCGAUAUGCGUUUAGGAAGUUCUCAAAUUUAAGUCUAUUUCACAUGUUUGCUUGCCUUCAGUUUUUAUGCUGUUUGUAUUAAUAUGAUAAUGUCUCUCCAGGGAGGGUUUGUCAAGACCCAGAAGACCAAUGCCUACCACAAGCGUUUCCAAGUCAAGUUCAAGAGACGGAGGCGUAAGUCAAGUUCAAGAGACCGAGGCGUUUCCAAGUCAAGUCAAGGUUUUGACGUACUUAAUCUCAUUUGUCAUUGUUUGCAGAGGGCAAGACUGACUACAGGGCCAGGAUUAGGCUCACCAACCAAGAUAAGAACAAGUACAACACACCGAAGUACCGCUUCGUUGUGAGAUUUGUAUCCUUUUUGUUCUUUGUAUCAUGAUAUUUAUGCAUUUCCUCGUAAAUUCUGGUUAUUAUACUAUAUAUUUGUUAUUAUCAUACUGUAUGCCUUAAUAGUACAUUAGACAAACAAAGAUAUCACAGCUCAAAUUGUCUAUGCUACCAUUGCUGGUGAUAUCGUGAUGGCUGCUGCCUACUCCCAUGAGCUGCCUCGCUAUGGUCUUGAAGUUGGUCUCACCAACUAUGCGGCAGGUAGUUUCCUCAGUUGAAUGAAUACGCAGAAUGCUGGUUUGUGUUGCUGUAUGAAUGCAAUUUAAUUCCUCUGUUUUGAUGCAUUGUGUAGCUUAUUGCACUGGCUUGCUUUUGGCUCGCCGUGUGCUCAAGCUCCGUGGUUUGGACCAGGAGUACGAGGGCAAUAUUGAGGUACAAAUACAAUCCUUAUAAAUUUUUUACUCUAUAUGCUCAUGCUCAUGCUGAUUUUGAUCUUGAUAUGUAUGAUUCCUUUGGUUAGGCCACUGGGGAGGACUACUAUGUUGAACCAGCUGAUGAAAGGCGGCCUUUCCGUGCUCUCUUGGAUGUUGGCCUCAUUAGGACAACCACUGGAAACCGUGUCUUUGGUGCCCUCAAGGUGUGUUGUGCUUUGAUCGCAACUGUUGGCUGCUGUAAUAAUAGUUGAUUUAUCACUUGAACAUCAAAUUCCUCAGCUCUUUUAGAAACACAACCGUUACGAUAACCUUUGGAUUGUUGAUCUGUAUUAGUAGCUCAUGUGGAUAUACUUCUCUUUUCUUCUGCAGGGAGCUUUGGAUGGUGGUCUUGACAUUCCUCACAGUGACAAGAGGUUUGCUGGGUUCAAGAAGGACGAGAAGCAGCUUGAUUCUGAUAUUCACCGCAAGUACAUCUACGGUGGGCACGUGGCUGACUACAUGAGGGUGAGCUGGCACUAUUAGAUCAAUUGUUCGUGCUAUUUUGACAUUGCUGUGUGUUGUAUUAGGAGUUAUGUAGCUGCCUUGAUGCUUGUAAUAUUGACUAAAACAUUAUAAGCAGGCUGGAAAAUUUGUUACUGUUUAGCUCAGUCUGCUUGAUUUUUAUUCUCAUCAGUUUAAAAUUUCUACUUAUGUACUUCUUGCAGUCUAUGGCGGAGGAGGAACCUGAGAAAUUCCAAGCCCACUUCAGUGAGUACCUCAAGAAGGGAAUUGAUGCUGAUGGCAUGGAAGCACUGUACAAGAAGGUCCAUGCUGCCAUCCGUGCUGAUCCUACCAUGGCCAAAUCAACCAAGAAGGAACCGGCGACCCACAAGAG